AUUGAACGCUGGCGGCAGGCCUAACACAUGCAAGUCGAACGAGUGGCGGACGGGUGAGUAAUGUCUGGGAAACUGCCUGAUGGAGGGGGAUAAAUACUGGAAACGGUAGCUAAUACCGCAUACCAUCAGAUGUGCCAAGAUGGGAUUAGCUAGUGGGUGGGGUACAGGCUCACAACGGCGACGAUCCCUAGCUGGUCUGAGAGGAUGACCAGCCACACGGGAACUGAGACACGGUCCAGAAUCCGACGGGAGGCAGCAGUGGGGAAUAUUGCACAAUGGGCGCAAGCCUGAUGCAGCCAUGCCGCGUGUAUGAAGAAGGCCUUCGGGUUGUAAAGUACUUUCAGCGGGGAGGCGUUACCCGCAGAAGAAGCACCGGCUAACUCCGUGCCAGCAGCCGCGGUAAUUC
rnacentral:rRNA from 1 species